rnacentral:misc_RNA from 1 species
GAUGAAGAACGCAGCGAAAUGCGAUACGUAAUGUGAAUUGCAGAAUUCAGUGAAUCAUCGAAUCUUUGAACGCAUAUUGCGCUCUCUGGUAUUCCGGAGAGCAUGCUUGUUUGAGUAUCAGUAAACACCUCAACUUCCAUAUCUUUUUUGAAAUGGGAGUUGGACUUGAGUGAUCCCAACGCUUUUCCUCACCGAAAAGUGGCGGGUUACUUGAAAUGCAGGUGCAGCUGGACUUUUCUCUGAGCUAUAAGCAUAUCUAUUUAGUCUGCCUAAAAAACAGAUUAUUACCUUUGCUGCAGCUAACAUAAAGGAGAUUAGUUCUUGUGCUGACUGAUGCAGGAUUCACAAAGACAGGCUUCGGCCGACUUUGUAAACUCGAUCUCAAAUCAAGUAAGACUACCCGCUGAACUAAAGCAUAUCAAUAAGCGGAGGA